rnacentral:rRNA from 1 species
UACGAAGGGGGCUAGCGUUGUUCGGAAUUACUGGGCGUAAAGCGUGCGCAGGCGGCUUCUCAAGUCAGGGGUGAAAGCCCAGAGCUCAACUCUGGAAUUGCCUUUGAGACUGAGAGGCUUGAGUACGGGAGAGGUGAGUGGAAUUCCCAGUGUAGAGGUGAAAUUCGUAGAUAUUGGGAAGAACACCGGUGGCGAAGGCGGCUCUCUGGACCGUAACUGACGCUGAGGCGCGAAAGCGUGGGGAGCAAACAGG